GGGACACCCCCUUGGUGGGGAGGCCACUACUGGACCAAAUGUCAGGUUCAGAAUAGGAGCAAAGUAUCAGAAGCUAUUAUUAUUAGAUUGACUUUGAUUGAUGAGGUAUCUUAGUUGUGCAUAUUGAAAAUUACGAGUAGCUUGAGGGCGUUUCUUGGAGAGGUGGUGAAGUUGGACUUUUUCCCAGAAAGACUGAUGCAGAAGAAAGAGGUAAAAGUUCUCUGACAGUGACGAGAAAAGAGAGAGUCAGAAACUGGACUCUCAGGCUAGCAGGCAACUCUGAGGACAUUUGGUCCAAGGUCUUUGAUGCCCAUUCCGAGAGAGAGACCCCCUCAGGAAGCCCCAGACCAUCAGUUACCUGAUGAAACCAUGGAAGAACGUGGAGAUAACCCCACAGUGCUUAUCCUUCAAAGGCUCAGUGAAGAAUGGAACCAAGAUUUACAAAUUCUACCAAAUAAAUUGUGUAUUUUCACAUCCUUAAGAUGA
rnacentral:lncRNA from 1 species